rnacentral:lncRNA from 1 species
UGGAGAGAAGAUGGAUGCACUUUUUCAAGGAUUAGUUGAUGAUCAUCGUAAGAACAAAAAGGAAAAUAGAAAUACUAUGAUUGAUCACUUACUUUCCUUACAAGAAUCACAACCUGAUGAUUACAGCGACAAAAUUAUCAAAGGGCUUAUUAUGGUUAGUCAUUUAUUAUUACUCCUCCCUCCAUGAUCUUUAGUCUUUUAAAUGAUCAAUUUUUUCUAUUUUUUUUUUAUUUUGACAAGAAAACAUAUUUUUCCUAACUCUUUUUUGGCAAAACUAAACAAAUUCGGUCUCCGUGAGCUUAACUCAGUUGGUAGGGAUAUCACACUAUAUGUGCAGGAGCUCGGGUUCGAACCCGGGACACUCCACUAAUUCAUCUUUAAGGUGAAUUUUCUAGCUACUAUGCUAUUUGACCAAAAAAAACUAAACAAAUUCAUUAAUUCAUUAAUAAUCGAAUACAUCAACUCGAAUCAUAUUGAUUAUACUAUCUCAAAUACUCAUAUCAUUAAUUAAGUGAUUGAACUCAAGUGAUUAAUGCACUCUCAUAAGAAUGAAUCAUUUGAGAGAAUUUGAGUUUAAUUUUAGUAGACUUUACUUAUCUUCUAGCCAAAUAAACUAAAGUUUUGAGACAAAAUUAAAAAUCUAAAAGAAUUAAUGAGUAGGGUUGAAUGGAGUGUUGAAUUAAAUGAAUAAAUGGUGUGGAGACUCAAUAAUAACUAAACAUUAUCAUAUAUAAUUAUGUGUAAUGUUUCUUUUUUGUUUUCCAGGCAUUGAUAGUGGCGGGAACAGAAACUUCCUCUAUAACAUUAGAGUGGGCGAUGUCAAAUUUGUUAAACCAUCCAGAAAUAAUGGAAAAGGCAAAGAUUGAAUUGAAUAAUCAAAUUGGACAAGAGUGUUUAAUUGAGGAAGCCGAAGCUAUCAAAUUACAAUAUCUUCAAAAUAUCAUCUCUGAGACUAUGCGGUUGCACCCACCAGCAACAAUGUUGGUGCCACAUUUAUCAUCUGAAGAUUGUAUUGUGGGAGGAUUUGAUGUGCCACGUAACACAAUGUUGAUGGUGAAUGCGUGGGCUAUUCAUCGGGAUCCUGAUUUGUGGGCUGACCCGACGAGCUUUAAACCUGAGAGGUUUGAGAAUGGUCAACAAGCAGAUGUACGUGGCUUCCUUCCUUUUGGGAUGGGGAGGAGGGCAUGUCCUGGGUCGGGGUUAGGCCUAAGAACUAUGUGCUUGACUCUAGGCUCGUUGAUUCAAUGCUUUGAUUGGAAAAAGAUUGGCAAGGAAGAAAUUAACAUGGUCGAAGGACAUGGAACUUUGGUUCCCAUGGCCAUUCCAUUGGAAGUCCAAUGCAAAACGCGCUCAAUAAUCAACAAGAUUUUCACAUAACAAUUGUAUAUUAAUUUGUCAAAGAAUUAAAUGAUAUGAGCCAAGUGAAUAAUGUUGAAGAAGUGGAGAAGUUGUUCUUUGGUGCCAAGGUCAUUCCAUUGUUUAUUUUUCUCANNNNNNNNNNNNNNNNNNNNNNNNNNNNNNNNNNNNNNNNNNNNNNNNNNNNNAAAAUUCAAAAAGCUGAACUAAAUUUUAUCUUUAAUAAACUAUGAGAUCAUUUUAUCUUUUUCACAAAGUCUCUUAGCUUCUUUUUUCCAAUGUUAAUUCAUCACUUUAACAAUAAAUAAUUUAGGAAAAUAUAAUCUUCUUGUAAAAUUGAAUUGGGAUGCAAGUGUUUAGGUUCAAACUCAAUUUUAAACAUACACAAAGUAGGAGAUGGUUCAGUGAAAUCACAACCAUCCAUUUAUUUUAAAAUAAAAUAAAAUUAUAGGAGUAAUUUUAAUAAAAAUGAAAGACUGAUAUUUUACUGUACAUAAAUUAAGUGCACGGAGAGGAUCAACUCUCAAAAAGUAGACAAUUCAAUAUUUAGUUGAAAGUUUUAUUUUUUCUCUAAUUUUACUUUUAUGUCAUUUACGUACAAGUCUUUUACAUAACUACAACUAUUACUUGUGCUUUACUCAAUCAAUUAACCCUUACGUUUUUCAACUAAUUUAAACCUUAAACUUAGACUAGUUUGAGAGACAUUUUCAAAAUUAUCACUCCUUCUACACAUAAGAUUAUCAAAUAACUUGUUCGGACUCACACGACCAUAGUGAUUAAACAUUUCUUUGUGUUUUUGAAUUGGAUCAAUUUUUUUAUUUUAAAACUUGGUAUCCGACCCUAGGGUCGACUAAUCUAAGAAGACUAAUUUCACCGCCCACUUGAGAGGGUCUCAUUUAAAGCCAGAGUUUUUUUUUUUCUCUGUAUGGACCAACCCGUCGAAAUUGGCACCGGCGGAAAUCAAAUCUGAAACCUUGAGAGGAACAUACUCCAAGAACCCAAGUCAAUACCACUAAACCAACCCAAUUGAGUUUGAAUUGGAUAAAUUUAAUUUUUAUCAUUAACCAAAAAUCACCGUAAACACCAAUCCAUCCAAGAUCUUUCCAAAGGACCACAUUCGCAGACAUUUUAUAGUGAUCCAAUUUUAAAAUAAAAAUUAAGUUAUAACUAAAUUUUUCAUAUAUUAUAUAUAUUUAUAUAACUAAAUUGAAAUUUUUUAGGCUUUCUGUUUUUUCAAAAUUUUGAGGUGUAAAGCUCUCUCGGUCACUAUNNNNNNNNNNNNNNAUAAAGUUAAUGAUGAGAGAGAAUAACUUUUCACAUCAUUAAAACAUUGAAUGCACAAUUUACGAGAUAAAACUUCUAUAUUUGUAUCCUUAACUAGUGCCCCGGGGGCACUGUUUAGCAUUUUUCUUUCAUAAAAAUUGCAUCAUUUAUUUUUUUUUGUUACCAUGAUUAUAAAUUUUCACCGUCAUUAGAGAUAACUAAUCUCCAUGGAGAAACCUGUGCGAUACAUAAAGUGAGUUCUCUCCAAUCGAAUUUUCUUCAUACGCAUUAGCCAGGAUUCAAACCUCUAACCACAUGUUUAAAGGACCAAAACUUUCACCAAUUGGACCAAAUAAAAAUUGCAUUAUUACUUGAAGAAAAUUCCAUUAUGUGUCGGGUCCAUUUUUUUGUGUACCACAACUAUUCCAAUCCAACCCCUUCUUUUUUGGUCAUAAUAUACAACGCCNNNNNNNNNNNNNNNNNNNNNNNNNNACUCUUCUGUGUGUCGGGUCCAACUUUAAAGCUAGUACAAAUCAAAGAAGAAAUUAAUGCUGACCUUUCUAAGAAGAUAAAGGAAUUUUGAGACCCUAUAUAUGCCACACACAUGUAAUUCAUAUAUGGUCAGAUUUGAAUUCAUAAAUCAUCACCUACAAAGAUUUUAAUCUAAACACAUGGAAUACAACUUUAUUGUCUACAUAAUUUUCCCUUUCCUUUUUCUUAUAUCUAUAAAAUUAUUAUUAUUUUCCAAUAGAAGACUCAAAAAGCUUCCACCAUGCCCACCUUCUUUUCCCAUAAUUGGCAACCUCCAUCAACUUAAACAACCAAUUCACCUAUAUUUUCAUGAACUCUCCCAAAAAUAUGGUCCUAUUUUCACCCUUAAAUUUGGGUCUCAACUUGUUGCAGUAGUUUCAUCGGCGUCUAUUGCCGAGGAAUGUUUCACCAAAAAUGAUAUUAUUUUUGCAAACCGUAUACACUCUCUUAAAACCAAGUAUCUUGCUUUCGAUAACACAAGCCUUAUUACCUCAUCGUAUGGAGAUCAUUGGCGUAAUUUACGUCGUAUAAGCUCACUAGAAAUUCUCUCUACUCACCGUCUCAACUCUUUUUCAGAAAUCCGUAAAGACGAGACCAUGAGGUUAGUUCGAGAACUUGCUAAGAACUCUAACAAAGACUUCACAAAAGUUGAGCUUAGAUCUUUGUUUGCUGAGCUAACAUUUAACACAAUCAUGAGAAUGGUUUGUGGUAAACGCUUUUAUGGUGAUGAAUCUGAUGGAACAAACGCCGAUGAGGCAAAGAAAUUUCGAGAUGUCAUGAAUGAGAUUCAAGAGUUUGGGUUGGGAUCCUAUCUUGGUGAUUUUGUGCCUUUAUUCAGAUUGUUUGAUUUUAGUGGUUAUAAGAAUAAGUUAAAAAGGGUUGGAGAGAAGAUGGAUGCACUUUUUCAAGGACUAGUUGAUGAUCAUCGUAAGAACAAAAAGGAAAAUAAAAAUACCAUGAUUGAUCACUUACUUUCCUUACAAGAAUCGCAACCUGAAUAUUACAGCGACCAAAUUAUCAAAGGGCUUAUUAUGGUUAGUCACUUAUUAUUACUCUUCCCUCCAUGAUCUUUAGUCUUUUAAAUGGUCAAUUUUUAUUUUAUUUUUACAAAAAAAAUAUUAUAUUGAUUGUUU